rnacentral:lncRNA from 1 species
GGGGACUUCAAAAUAAUUUUUCAUUUUCUGGUAGAGCCAACUUAAAUGGCACCACCAGAUCAGACCUGACACCCUUAUUUUAUUUUUUAUUUUUACUUUUUUAUUAACUUUUGUCUUUUUCUUUAAAUUUUUUUUAUUUUUUUAAGUUUUAUAUUUUUUUCUUAUUUUAUUUAUUUAUUGUUAUUAAUUUUGAAAAAUUUGAA